UGUAGUAAUACAAGGCAGACGGCUCAGUAACGCGUAGUCAACCUACCCUAUGGACGGGGAUAACCUCGGGAAACUGAGAAUAAUACCCGAUAGAACAUUAUGCCUGGAAUGGUUUAUGUUUCAAAUAAUUUAUUGCCGUAGGAUGGGACUGCGGCCUAUCAGUUUGUUGGUGAGGUAAUGGCCCACCAAGACUAUUACAGGUACGGGCUCUGAGAGGAGUAGCCCGGAGAUGGGUACUGAGACACGGACCCAGGCCCUAUGGGGCGCAGCAGGCGAGAAAACUUUGCAAUGUGCGAAAGCACGACAAGGUUAAUCCGAGUGGUUUCUGCUAAAGGAACCUUUUGUCAGUCCUAGAAACACUGGUGAAUAAGGGGUGGGCAAGUUCUGGUGUCAGCCGCCGCGGUAAAACCAGCACCUCAAGUGGUCAGGAUGAUUAUUGGGCCUAAAGCAUCCGUAGCCUGCUUUGUAAGUUUUCGGUUAAAUCCAUACGCUCAACGUAUGGGCUGCCGGGAAUACUGCAAAGCUAGGGAGUGGGAGAGGUAGACGGUACUCGGUAGGAAGGGGUAAAAUCCUUUGACCUAUUGAUGACCACCUGUGGCGAAGGCGGUCUACCAGAACACGUCCGACGGUGAGGGAUGAAAGCUGGGGGAGCAAACCGGAUUAGAUACCCGGGUAGUCCCAGCUGUAAACUAUGCAAACUCAGUGAUGCAUUGGCUUGAUGCCAAUGCAGUGCCGCAGGGAAGCCGUUAAGUUUGCCGCCUGGGAAGUACGUACGCAAGUAUGAAACUUAAAGGAAUUGGCGGGGGAGCACCACAAGGGGUGAAGCCUGCGGUUCAAUUGGA
rnacentral:rRNA from 1 species